CCUACGGGAGGCUGCAGUGAGGAAUAUUGGUCAAUGGACGAAAGUCUGAACCAGCCAAGUAGCGUGAAGGAUGACGGCCCUAUGGGUUGUAAACUUCUUUUAUAUGGGAAUAAAAUGUUCCACGUGUGGGUUAUUGUAUGUACCGUAUGAAUAAGGAUCGGCUAACUCCGUGCCAGCAGCCGCGGUAAUACGGAGGGUCCGGGCGUUAUCCGGAUUUAUUGGGUUUAAAGGGAGCGUAGGUCGCUCGUUAAGUGAGUUGUGAAAGGUUGCGGCUCAACCGUAAAAUUGCAGUUCGAACUGGCAGUCUUGAGUACAGUAGAGGUGGGCGGAAUUCGUGGUGUAGCGGUGAAAUGCUUAGAUAUCACGAAGAACUCCGAUUGCGAAGGCAGCUCACUGUACCGUAACUGACACUGAGGCUCGAAAGUGUGGGUAUCAAACAGGAUUAGAUACCCGGGUAGUC
rnacentral:rRNA from 1 species